AAGUGUGUAGCUCAGUGGUAGAGCAUGUGCUAGCAAGAAGAGGAAGGCUCUGGGUUCAACACCUAGUACACUCA
rfam:Ictidomys tridecemlineatus contig094339, whole genome shotgun sequence.